rnacentral:lncRNA from 1 species
ACCUGAGAUUACUAUGAUGACUUGUAAGCAAAUCACUAUGUUUUGGUGCCGAAUUACCUAUAUUUCUAAUAUAAUAAUGGAAGGCUACUAGAUACAGUCAAGUAUUUAUGAAGUCAGUGUGUGAGUCAAGAUGAGAUUGACCCUUCUAGAUUAUAAGAGUUAAUAUAUCACUGUAUUUUAAUCCAGUAAAAUCUUGGUCAGGAUAAUCUUUAUGAUCUGUCAUAAGAUUUAAAAAUGAUUAAGAUAUAAUGUAGAUAACUC